CGCACAUUGCGCCCUCUGGUAUUCCGGGGGGCAUGCCUGUUCGAGCGUCAUUACAACCCUCAAGCUCUGCUUGGUAUUGGGUGUCACCAGCUUGGUGCACUUUAAAAUCAGUGGCGGUGCCAUUUGGCUUCAAGCGUAGUAAUAAUUUCGCUUCUGAAGUUUAGAUGUGCUCUUGCCAGUAAUUCAUAUAUAUCAAAGGUUGACCUCGGAUCAGGUAGGGAUACCCGCUGAACUUAA
rnacentral:misc_RNA from 1 species